rnacentral:lncRNA from 1 species
CAGGAACUGAGGCACUGCAGGGAACAUGGAGAGAAAGCUGUGAAAGACUGGUCAUCUCUUGUGCCUAAUAAACCAGAGAAUGCAGUGCUGGUCUCCAGUCACUAACAACUAUCCCUGAAUUAAGGAGAUCAACAAAGAGUUGCCACAUUGGAACCAUUCAU